rnacentral:rRNA from 1 species
GGCGUGUACUGCUUGGCUGGGCCUUACUUCUUGGUGAGCCGGCGUGCCCUUUAUUGGUGUGCGUCGGGGAACCAGGACUUUUACCUUGAGAAAAUUAGAGUGUUCAAAGCAGGCCUAUGCCUGAAUACAUUAGCAUGGAAUAAUAGAAUAGGACGUGCGGUUCUAUUUUGUUGGUUUCUAGAGUCGCCGUAAUGAUUAAUAGGGACAGUUGGGGGCAUUGGUAUUGAGUCGCUAGAGGUGAAAUUCUUGGAUUGACUCAAGACCGACUAUUGCGAAAGCAUUUGCCAAGGAUGUUUUCAUUAAUCAAGAACGAAGGUUAGGGGAUCGAAAACGAUCAGAUACCGUUGUAGUCUUAACAGUAAACUAUGCCGACUAGGGAUCGGAUGACCUCAAAAUUGAUGUGUCAUUCGGCACCUUACGAGAAAUCAAAGUCUUUGGGUUCUGGGGGGGAGUAUGGUCGCAAGGCUGAAACUUAAAGGAAUUGACGGAAGGGCACCACCAGGUGUGGAGCCUGCGGCUUAAUUUGACUCAACACGGGGAAACUCACCAGGUCCAGACAUAACUAGGAUUGACAGAUUGAUAGCUCUUUCAUGAUUUUAUGGGUGGUGGUGCAUGGCCGUUCUUAGUUGGUGGAGUGAUUUGUCUGGUUAAUUCCGAUAACGAACGAGACCUUAACCUGCUAAAUAGCCAGGCCGGCUUCGGCUGGUCUCUGGCUUCUUAGAGGGACUGUCAG